UCAAUAAGUUCGGUGGAAAAUAAACAUUAUAUAGUGGGCCCUAGGAAAUUUUCAAUGGUGAGAGUUCAAUCACCACUAUUUCCUGUGGUGUGCUCCACCCGAGAUUUAGAUCUGCCUCAUUUGGGCUCAUGACUAGUUGGAAAAAUGGAUAGACGGCAUGGAUAAGACACAUACAUCAUGGUAGGGCCCAUGGAGCUAGCAUUUCCCGCACCCAUCAGUACCAAGUCCGGUACUGGAGGUGUCACUACCGAAGCCGAGUCCAUGUUAGCUAUUGGAUUCUCAUAGCCACUUUCCACAUUCGAAACGUGGUACGUUCGUGUCUGCCGUUUGUAGUCCGUGACUCUGCAGCGUAGGAAAGAGUAGCCCGUGAUUGCCUAAACAAAUUUAAAAGAAAAGGAAAAAAAAGCCGGCAAGACGUGUUACUUUUCAAUUGAUCCUCUCCACCGUUCUCUCACGAAUAAAUAGGAGAUGAAUGUGAGAUGAAGGGCAGAGAAAGAAGUCGGGGCUAUAGCAGAGGUAAGGUUGAUAGCGACGAAGGUGGGCCAUGCUGUGACCGAUGCCUCUGCAAUCUAUCCAACCCACCACAAUGCCAAUGCUUCGACGUGAAGAGCUACUGCUACCCCUCAUGCAAGAGUUGCCUUUGCAACUGGUCCAUUCCCCCUCAAUGCCAAUGUUUCGACAUUAAGGACCACUGUGACAAGCCUUGCACGGCUACGGGCUCUGUGAACUAACGCAGAGGUAGACCGCCGUACUGGUCUCUCUUAUAUAUAUGCCUAAAUAAAUGAAAAGUGUCUUAGGAUGAUACUUGGGCUGAAAUGAACUUUGUUAUUAUUGGAUGAUACAUCAGUCUCGUUGUUGCUUUAUGCGUUUGUUGUGUGUGCGAUCUUGACCGUAUGAUUUGUACAAGCUUGUUCCACCGAGUCUUAAAUGCAUGAGCUAUUAAUGUCCAUUGGAGCGGACCAA